GUGUGAACUUCAGUCAGUUCUGCUCAUUUUAGCAGAUCAGAUAGAGAGGGAUCAUUUACCAGUAGAUACUGUUCUGAGUCGUUUAGAUGAUGUUUCUGAAAUGCUUGGGAUGAUAAUUGCUCUUCAAGAUGUUAGCAUCGAUGACAACAUUGUCGAAGGUUUAAGAUCAAUUCAGCACCGUGUUCGUUUGGAAUACGCUGAGGAAGAACAGUCUUCAAAUGUUGGUCGUCCACGUCUUGAAAUCCCGGCUGCAGCACUCAGGACUUUAGUGCUGUCCGGGAUAACCAUCGGGGUAAUUGCCGAUAUGUUUUUCGUGUCUCCGAGCACAAUUAGGAGGAAAAUGACGGAGGAAGGUCUAAGAAAAUCUGAUAGGAAUUCUUCUGCUGGAGAUGUGGAUUUGGAUUCAAAAGUGCUGGACAUUCAGCGUCAUCACCCAAAUGUCGACUGCAGAAUGAUGAUGGGACAUCUACGAUCCAGAGGCAUACACAUUCAAAGAUUUCGACUGAUGGAUUCAAUGAGACGAGUCAAUCCAGAAGGGGUCAAGAUGCGACGGUUAUCUAUUAAGACUGCAAGGUGUUUUCAGUACAGUGUACCAGCAGCAAAUCACCUUUGGCAUAUAGAUGGAAAUCAGCAUUGAGCGCCUGUGGAGGGAUGUAUAUGAAAACAUCUUCACCCAGCUGGAGAUUCAAGGACUGCUCAACCCCGGUGAAAAAAUUCACUUGUUUGCACUGCACAGAUGCUUUUUGCAUCACAUUCAACAUCAUCUUCAGUCAUUCCAGGAAGCAUGGAAUCAGCACGGACUCAGAAAAGCAAACAACCAUUCACCCCUGCACCUCUGGUUGCUGCACAGAAAGGAGGGACAAGAUUUGUCACAGGUUGAUGAGGAUUAUGGUGUGGACUGGACAGGACCACAUAAUCACCGCCCAUCAAAUGAGAUCACCAUUCCUGAGAUUCAGCUCCCACGUGCACUGAAUGAACGAAACCCUGCUGUGCUACCAAACAACAACGUUUCACUCAGUCAAGCUUUGGAUGCCUACUGUGAAACUGUUCAGUCACUCAAACUUGUGUUUUAUACCACACCUUAACUCUUCAAAGUAAGCAGGUGCAAUAUCUUCACACCCUAUUUCUUGCAUAACCAUACUUCAAAAUCACUUGUAGAAAGACACUAUCACAUUUAAUCAAUUUCUAUGUCAGGAGGAUUUUUAAAAAAAAAUUUCUACAUCUAUGGCUUUGUAGCUAAUACUGACUCAAAACAGCAUAACCAAUUUCAUUUUCAACAAAACAGUGAGUGGCUAUAAAACAGGAUUUAUUUUACACAGCUGUCACUUUAAUGAUAUUCAUUUCUUGGUUGGAUGUACAGUACAUGUCAACUCUGAGCAGAUUUAAUACAAUGAACACAGUACAGUAGUGUAACAUCUUAAUUCAAAUAAUUUUUUCUACAAAAUUUUUUUGUACCAGUAGCGAGUAUAAACAAAACAUACUGUGUAAUUUAUAAUGUACAGUGAACAACUGAUUUUGAUAUCUGAACUCUUUG